CCGCCCAGUGCACCCCCGACGCCCGCCUCCAGAGUGCCGCCGGCGAAGGCGCCGCCACUGGCGAGGCAGAGGGAGAGGAGAAGGACCGAGGAUUGCUUCAUGGAGGUGACGCCUCUGUAGGGAACGUGGGGCGAUAUGUGCCACGGCGAAGCGGCAUGCGGAAGCCCUUGCCGACGAGUUGCGCGGCUUUUUUCACAUUCCCUAAGUAUUUGUUUUUGCGGGAGAACUUGCGGUGUCUGGCGCUGUCUGAGGCUUAUUCCGACAUACCGUUUCCGGUGCAUCCAUGCUGGCACCGCG
rnacentral:sRNA from 1 species